rnacentral:rRNA from 1 species
CAUGUAGGCGGAUUGAUAAGUUUGAAGUGAAAUCCUAUAGCUUAACUAUAGAACUGCUUUGAAAACUGUUAACCUAGAAUGUGGGAGAGGUAGAUGGAAUUUCUGGUGUAGGGGUAAAAUCCGUAGAGAUCAGAAGGAAUACCAAUUGCGAAGGCGAUCUACUGGAACAUUAUUGACGCUGAGAUGCGAGAGCGUGGGAGCAAACA